UAUCGGAUUGAUACUAAGCCAUGCGAGUCAUUGCAGUAAUGCAAGGCAGACGGCUCAGUAACGCGUAGUCAACCUACCCUAUGGACGGGAAUAACCUCGGGAAACUGAGUAUAAUGCCCGAUAGAACACUAUACCUGGAAUGGUUUGUGUUCCAAAUGAAUGUCGCCGUAGGAUGGGACUGCGGCCUAUCAGUUUGUUGGUGAGGUAAUGGCCCACCAAGACUAUUACAGGUACGGGCUCUGAGAGGAGUAGCCCGGAGAUGGGUACUGAGACACGGACCCAGGCCCUAUGGGGCGCAGCAGGCGAGAAAACUUUGCAAUGUGCGAAAGCACGACAAGGUUAAUCCGAGUGGUUUGUGCUAAACGAACCUUUUGACAGUCCUAGAAACACUGUUGAAUAAGGGGUGGGCAAGUUCUGGUGUCAGCCGCCGCGGUAAAACCAGCACCUCAAGUGGUCAGGAUGAUUAUUGGGCCUAAAGCAUCCGUAGCCGGCUCUGUAAGUUUUCGGUUAAAUCUGUACGCUCAACGUACAGGCUGCCGGGAAUACUGCAGAGCUAGGGAGUGGGAGAGGUAGACGGUACUCGGUAGGAAGGGGUAAAAUCCUUUGAUCUAUUGAUGACCACCUGUGGCGAAGGCGGUCUACCAGAACACGUCCGACGGUGAGGGAUGAAAGCUGGGGGAGCAAACCGGAUUAGAUACCCGGGUAGUCCCAGCUGUAAACUAUGCAAACUCAGUGAUGCAUUGGCUUGUGGCCAAUGCAGUGCUGCAGGGAAGCCGUUAAGUUUGCCGCCUGGGAAGUACGUACGCAAGUAUGAAACUUAAAGGAAUUGGCGGGGGAGCACCACAAGGGGUGAAGCCUGCGGUUCAAUUGGAGUC
rnacentral:rRNA from 1 species